AAUCAACGCUGGCGGCGUGCCUCAGACAUGCAAGUCGAACGAUUAAGACUUCCUUCGGGAAGUGUAUAAAGUGGCGCACGGGUGAGUAACACGUAAGUAAUCUACCUUCGAGUGGGGAAUAACAUCGGGAAACCGAUGCUAAUACCGCAUAAUGCAGCGGCAUCGCAAGAUGACAGUUGUUAAAGGAGCAAUUCGCUUGAAGAGGAGCUUGCGGCAGAUUAGCUAGUUGGUAAGGUAAUGGCUUACCAAGGCUACGAUCUGUAUCCGGUCUAAGAGGACGGUCGGACACACUGACACUGAAUAACGGGUCAGACCCCUACUGGAGGCAGCAGUGGGGAAUAUUGGACAAUGGGCGCAAGCCUGAUCCAGCCAUGCCGCGUGAGUGAUGAAGGCCUUAGGGUUGUAAAGCUCUUUCACCGAUGAAGAUAACGACGGUAGUCGGAGAAGAAGCCCCGGCUAACUUCGUGCCAGCCGCCGCUGUAACAC
rnacentral:rRNA from 1 species